CCUACGGGAGGCAGCAGUAGGGAAUCUUCCACAAUGGGCGAAAGCCUGAUGGAGCAACGCCGCGUGGGUGAAGAAGGUCUUCGGAUCGUAAAACCCUGUUGUUAGAGAAGAAAGUGCGUGAGAGUAACUGUUCACGUUUCGACGGUAUCUAACCAGAAAGCCACGGCUAACUACGUGCCAGCAGCCGCGGUAAUACGUAGGUGGCAAGCUUUAUCCGGAUUUAUUGGGCGUAAAGGGAACGCAGGCGGUCUUUUAAGUCUGAUGGGAAAGCCUUCGGCUUAACCGGAGUAGUGCAUUGGAAACUGGGAGACUUGAGUGCAGAAGAGGAGAGUGGAACUCCAUGUGUAGCGGUGAAAUGCGUAGAUAUAUGGAAGAACACCAGUGGCGAAAGCGGCUCUCUGGUCUGUAACUGACGCUGAGGUUCGAAAGCGUGGGUAGCAAACAGGAUUAGAUACCCGAGUAGUC
rnacentral:rRNA from 1 species